UACAGAGGGGGCAAGCGUUAUUCGGAAUUAUUGGGCGUAAAGGGCGCGUAGGCGGCUUUUCAAGUGGCGGGGGAAGUCCCUCGGCUUAACCGAGGAACUGCCUGCCAGACUGGAUGGCUUGAGACCGGGAGAGGUGAGUGGAAUUCCCAGUGUAGCGGUGAAAUGCGUAGAUAUUGGGAGGAACACCAGUGGCGAAGGCGGCUCACUGGACCGGUACUGACGCUGAGGCGCGAAAGCGUGGGGAGCAAACAGG
rnacentral:rRNA from 1 species